ensembl:lncRNA
UUUUUUUUAUAAUUUAACAUAUCAAUAUAAUAUAAAAUAUUGUUUAUGAUAUAACUCAACAACAUAACAUGAAGUAUAUUUGAAAUUCUCUUCCCAGAGUUCAAACUGUGAUCCAGCUGCCGCAGUCUAUAUGAAUGUGAGUCUGUUAGGAGCCCCUACUCUCCCUUUAGAGCCCGCCGACAUGGAACUAAACCCAAUAAGGGCUUAGAGGGUUGCUGGUUCAAUCCCUGACUACUAAUGUCUGGUGGUCCUUGUGCAAGAUGCUGAUAAUAAAAAUACAAACACAGAGAGUCAGAGGGACAUGGAUGAUCCUGCAGAUAUUAAAAAAAAAAAUAGAGGUUACAGUAAGUUUUUCUUUUUCUUAUUUUUUUUAAAUGGACAUACAAACAUUUUGUACAGAAUCUAUCUCCAUCAUACAUAAGAUAAUAUAUUGUAAACAUUUUGUGUGUGUAUUUUAAAAUAUAUUCUAAUUUGAUAUAUCAUUUGUUUCUUUUUUGAUACCUUAUUCUUGAAUAUGCCUAAACGGUCUGUGUAUAAACAUAUAUGUAUGUAUAUAGCAUUUAUCAAUUAAUACACCAUUAUGUUUUAUAACCCAACAUCAUGUUUUAAUACACAUGAAUCUUCAGCAGACACUUUUAUCUGAAGCCACUUGGCAGUGAUGGCAAACUGUCAAAAUAGUAAAGAAAAAAGUUGAGUACCUAUUAGCCUUUGUGGUCAAUGUCUGUAGUGCUGCAUGUACUUCCUCUACCUCUAGCCUGUCUGCUAUAAAUUCAGAUAGUUAGUGAGAAACGAAGGCAGGCUAUAACAGGAAGUAGCUGGUCAGAGCAAUAACCACAGCUGAUACUCUGACACCCCGAACAUGAUUUUCUUCACAUAGCUUCUUUUUUUCUCAAGUUCAGUUACUGUUUGUAAGGACAACUUAUUAAGAAUAUUUUAUAUAUUACAUUUCCACUAUUAUUUAUUCCUUGAAAGCAGAUUAAAAUAUAGAUAUUUUCCUUCAUGUAAACAAUAUCUUCCCAACGAUGGCCCUUCUGCUAUUCUUUUUUUAUUUAUUUUCUUAUUUUGCAGAACAUUUUCUCUUUUCAUUAUCUUACACAUUCAGAUAUAUCACACAUAUCUAGAUUUUGGAUUGAUUUUAGGAAUCAUGCAUAUCUGAAUGUUAUUGAAGUUGAAUGAAAACAAUAAUUUAACAUAUCUGGGCCAUAACCGAUUAAAACAUUGAUCACAUCUGAGUGUGUGUGUAUGGGUGUAUUUUUUACGGAUUAAAAAAUGUUGCCAGUGCUGGAGAAAAGGGCUUGCCCCUGAAAUUGUUGAAUCUAUUGGUAACGCCAUAGCCGUCUUUUCAUAAUGAAAGCAAUAUGCUUCGGUCCGAUGCUUCUUUCACAACCAUGGAUGUUUUCUAAAUAUUGAGGUGGACGCUUCCCCUGCCUCCCCUACGCAACUACAAACGACGCCCAUGGUGUGACGCUGUUCUCUCAUUUCCCUAAACCAAGUUACCUGGUU